AAUCAACGCUGGCGGCGUGCCUCAGACAUGCAAGUCGAACGAUUAAAGCUCUCUUCGGAGAGUGCAUAAAGUGGCGCACGGGUGGGUAGCACGUAAGUAAUCUACCUUCGAGUGGGGAAUAACGUCCGGAAACGGACGCUAAUACCGCAUAAUGCAGCGGCAUCGCGAGAUGACAGUUGUGAAAGGAGCAAUUCGCUUGAAGAGGAGCUUGCGGCAGAUUAGCUAGUUGGUAAGGUAAUGGCUUACCAAGGCUACGAUCUGUAACCGGUCUAAGAGGACGGUCGGUCACACUGACACUGAAUAACGGGUCAGACUCCUACGGGAGGCAGCAGUCGGGAAUUUUGGGCAAUGGGGGAAACCCUGACCCAGCAACGCAGCGUGAAGGAUGAAGUUUUUCGGAAUGUAAACUUCGAAAGAAUAGGAAGAAUUAAUGACGGUACUAUUUAUAAGGUCCGGCUAACUACGUGCCAGCAGCCGCAGUAA
rnacentral:rRNA from 1 species